AGCGAACGCUGGCGGCAGGCUUAACACAUGCAAGUCGAGCGGGCAUAGCAAUAUGUCAGCGGCAGACGGGUGAGUAACGCGUGGGAACGUACCUUUUGGUUCGGAACAACUGAGGGAAACUUCAGCUAAUACCGGAUAAGCCCUUACGGGGAAAGAUUAAUCGCCGAAAGAUCGGCCCGCGUCUGAUUAGCUAGUUGGUGAGGUAAUGGCUCACCAAGGCGACGAUCAGUAGCUGGUCUGAGAGGAUGAUCAGCCACAUUGGGACUGAGACACGGCCCAAACUCCUACGGGAGGCAGCAGUGGGGAAUAUUGGACAAUGGGCGCAAGCCUGAUCCAGCCAUGCCGCGUGAGUGAUGAAGGCCCUAGGGUUGUAAAGCUCUUUUGUGCGGGAAGAUAAUGACGGUACCGCAGGAAUAAGCCCCGGCUAACUUCGUGCCAGCCGCCGCCGUAAUAC
rnacentral:rRNA from 1 species